CAACUACUCUCUCUCUCUCUCUCUCUCUCUCUCUCUAUGUAUAUGUGUAUAUAUAUAUAUAUUCCCUGUUUGUCACGCUUUCAUUCCAGUGGUCGCCCAAUACUUCGAAGUUCAGGUUUACGAUCAGUUCGCGAUCCGCGGGAACGCGGCAAUUUUCAAGUGUCAGGUUCCAUCGUUCGUCGCCGACCACGUGGACGUAGUGGGAUGGAUCGAUUCGAACGGCGGCAGUUACGUGGCCGAUGGACAGUCAUACGAUGGAAAAUACUUGGUACUGCCUUCCGGGGAGCUUCACAUUCGCGAUGUUGGACCCGAGGAUGGAUACAAGACUUACCAAUGCCGCACCAAGCAUAGACUGACCGGAGAGACGAGGCUGUCGGCAACCAAGGGACGACUC
rnacentral:misc_RNA from 1 species